rnacentral:rRNA from 1 species
UACGUAGGGGGCAAGCGUUGUCCGGAUUUAUUGGGCGUAAAGAGCGUGUAGGCGGCCUGGUAGGUCAGCUGUGAAAACUCGAGGCUCAACCUCGAGACGCCGGUUGAAACCAUCAGGCUAGAGUCCGGAAGAGGAGAGUGGAAUUCCCGGUGUAGCGGUGAAAUGCGCAGAUAUCAGGAAGAACACCUAUGGCGAAGGCAGCUCUCUGGGACGGUACUGACGCUGAGACGCGAAAGCGUGGGGAGCGAACAGG